rnacentral:rRNA from 1 species
AACGAACGCUGGCGGCAUGCCUAACACAUGCAAGUCGAACGGCAGCACGGGAGCAAUCCUGGUGGCGAGUGGCGAACGGGUGAGUAAUAUAUCGGAACGUGCCCAGUCGUGGGGAUACGUAGCGAAAGCUACGCUAAUACCGCAUACGAUCUAUGGAUGAAAGCGGGGGAUCGCAAGACCUCGCGCGAUUGGAGCGGCCGAUAUCAGAUUAGGUAGUUGGUGAGGUAAAGGGCUCACCAAGCCGACGAUCUGUAGCUGGUCUGAGAGGACGACCCAGCCACACUGGGACUGGAGACACGGCCCAGACUCUACGGGAGC